AUCUUGAGCCCCUUGAAAGUUGCAGCUCUCAGGACAUUUCACACCUAGAAUAUUUCAGCACCAAUCUCCUGAAUUCUGAAUUCUCCUGACCAAAGACAUCCUCCUUCAUAACGCUCAGAGGUGAGGCCAUGCACUUUCCACGGCAUCUCAGGGAGAACCUCGAGGCAGUCAGUAACUACUGUGGCUGCAGAUGCUGGGUUCACUGGUGAUGGUGGGGCCCGUCUGGUCUCCCCACUGGAAAGAUGCUUUAGUUUCAAGGAAGCUGAAUCAACCAGCGCACAUGGUCACUUGAAUCAGGACACUCCAGACACAGAGACGGGAGACAGUGCAGAGCCAAGGACAGAAGGGCCAGGAGAGAGGCUCUCCUCUCGGGAGGAAGUGACAAUAAUAAAAAUUUAAAUAUAAGAAGAAU
ensembl:lncRNA